UGGUAGAGCUGAGGACAG
rnacentral:miRNA from 1 species